AGAGUUUGAUCCUGGCUCAGGAUGAACGCUAGCGGCAGGCUUAACACAUGCAAGUCGAGGGGCAGCGGGGAGGAAGCUUGCUUUCUCCGCCGGCGACCGGCGCACGGGUGAGUAACACGUAUGCAACCUGCCCCUGUCAGGGGGACAACCCGCCGAAAGGCGGGCUAAACCCGCGUACAUGCCACCGGGGCAUCCCGGAGGCAGGAAAGGCUUCGGCCGGACAGGGAUGGGCAUGCGGCGCAUUAGGCAGUAGGCGGGGUAACGGCCCACCUAACCGACGAUGCGUAGGGGUUCUGAGAGGAAGGUCCCCCACACUGGUACUGAGACACGGACCAGACUCCUACGGGAGGCAGCAGUGAGGAAUAUUGGUCAAUGGUCGGGAGACUGAACCAGCCAAGCCGCGUGAGGGAGGAAGGUACAGAGUAUCGUAAACCUCUUUUGUCAGGGAACAAAGGCGGGGACGUGUCCCCGGAUGAGUGUACCUGAAGAAAAAGCAUCGGCUAACUCCGUGCCAGCAGCCGCGGUAAUACGGAGGAUGCGAGCGUUAUCCGGAUUUAUUGGGUUUAAAGGGUGCGCAGGCGGUCUGUUAAGUCAGCGGUCAAAGCCCGGGGCUCAACCCCGGCCCGCCGUUGAAACUGGCAGUCUCGAGUUGGAGAGAAGUAUGCGGAAUGCGCGGUGUAGCGGUGAAAUGCAUAGAUAUCGCGCAGAACUCCGAUUGCGAAGGCAGCAUGCCGGCUCCACACUGACGCUGAGGCACGAAAGCGUGGGUAUCGAACAGGAUUAGAUACCCUGGUAGUCCACGCAGUAAACGAUGAAUGCUGGCUGUCCGGGGGGAUUGACCCCUGGGUGGCGAAGCGAAAGCGAUAAGCAUUCCACCUGGGGAGUACGCCGGCAGCGGUGAAACUCAAAGGAAUUGACGGGGGCCCGCACAAGCGGAGGAACAUGUGGUUUAAUUCGAUGAUACGCGAGGAACCUUACCCGGGCUCAAACGGGGAGUGACUCAGGCAGAGACGCCUGUUUCCCACGGGACACUCCCCGAGGUGCUGCAUGGUUUCGUCAGCUCGUGCCGUGAGGUGUCGGCUUAAGUGCCAUAACGAGCGCAACCCCCGCGUGCAGUUGCUAACAGAUAACGCUGAGGACUCUGCACGGACUGCCGGCGCAAGCCGCGAGGAAGGCGGGAUGACGUCAAAUCAGCACGGCCCUUACGUCCGGGGCGACACACGUGUUACAAUGGGUGGUACAGCGGGAAGCCAGGCGGCGACGCCGAGCGGAACCCGAAAUCCACUCUCAGUUCGGAUCGGAGUCUGCAACCCGACUCCGUGAAGCUGGAUUCGCUAGUAAUCGCGCAUCAGCCAUGGCGCGGUGAAUACGUUCCCGGGCCUUGCACUCACCGCCCGUCAAG
rnacentral:rRNA from 1 species